UACGUAGGGGGCUAGCGUUGUCCGGAAUCAUUGGGCGUAAAGCGCGUGUAGGCGGUCCGGUAAGUCCGCUGUGAAAGUCGGGGGGCUCAACCCUCGGAUGCCGGUGGAUACUGUCGGGCUUGAGUACGGAAGAGGCGAGUGGAAUUCCUGGUGUAGCGGUGAAAUGCGCAGAUAUCGAUAAGGAAGACCAGUGGCGAAGGCGGGUCUCUGGACAGUUCCUGACGCUGAGGCACGAAGGCCAGGGGGAGCAAACGGG
rnacentral:rRNA from 1 species